UCUGUCCUCCUUCUAGCUCUCAAAUCCACCCCUUCUUCCCACUUUCCAGCUCCCUGCAUCAACCCAGGCUCAACUCCUAGUUCCCUCUGCCUCCACUACUUCCUUGCCAUUCUAACUGACCUUCCCAUCUCCACUUAAUAAAUGCUUAUUGAACUGAAUUCAACUGAAUUGAAUUACUCUCAUGCCAUUUUCCCCUAACAUACUCUGCCUUAGAUUGUGAAGUAUCUCUUGUGGGGAAAUCCUGGUAAGGAAACACCAUACAGGUGCUCUGGAAAUUAGCCUCCCUCCCCCACCUCCACCAAGGCACAGAAGGUUAAAUGACUUGCCCAGAGCCACACAGCCAGAAUGUGUCAGAGGCAGAGACUGAGACCAGAUUUCCUGCUUUGGAGUCAUCUCUAUACAGUUUAAUGCCAAUGUCAGCGAUGGUCCUUUGGAUAAAGCGGGAUGGCCGAAGGACAAAGACAAGUUGC